GGAAGCUGUAGACCACCGGUAGGUUGCCAGCCUCACCAGCCUCAUAAGCUGGAGAUACGGGGUUCGACUCCCUGCGCUGCUACCA
rnacentral:tRNA from 1 species